CGGAACGUGCCCAAUCGUGGGGGAUAACGCAGCGAAGCUGUGCUAAUACCGCAUACGAUCUACGGAUGAAAGCAGGGGACCGCAAGGCCUUGCGCGAGUGGAGCGGCCGAUGGCAGAUUAGGUAGUUGGUGAGGUAAAGGCUCACCAAGCCGUCGAUCUGUAGCUGGUCUGAGAGGACGACCAGCCACACUGGGACUGAGACACGGCCCAGACUCCUACGGGAGGCAGCAGUGGGGAAUUUUGGACAAUGGGCGCAAGCCUGAUCCAGCAAUGCCGCGUGCAGGAUGAAGGCCUUCGGGUUGUAAACUGCUUUUGUACGGAACGAAACGGUCUUCUCUAAUACAGGGGGCUAAUGACGGUACCGUAAGAAUAAGCACCGGCUAACUACGCGCCAGCAGCCGCGGUAAUACGUAGGGUGCAAGCGUUAAUCGGAAUUACUGGGCGUAAAGCGUGCGCAGGCGGUUAUGUAAGACAGUUGUGAAAUCCCCGGGCUCAACCUGGGAAUUGCAUCUGUGACUGCAUAGCUAGAGUACGGUAGAGGGGGAUGGAAUUCCGCGU
rnacentral:rRNA from 1 species